UUUGAACCGAAUCCUAAGCCCCCAUUUGCAUAUUGCUAAUGAAUCAUUUAUUUUUUCUUUGCGUACUCGCAAGAUACUGUGAUGUGAUUGGAUCUUACCUUAUGAAUAAUGUAUUUUUCUAUUGAAAUUCGUACGUCAUAAUUUGACCCCCAUCGUCACUUCCGCUUAAUUAAAGGCUGAAAGAUGACGUCACCCGCACAGAAGAAGAUUAUGUCCUUGAAAGAUUUUCGACAUAGAACAUGAUGCUGCUUCACAUCCUCUUUUAGAGACUCGAGGAUUACAAGACCGAAUUAAGCUGCAGGACCCUCCUGAUUCAAAAAGAUAUGGAACAUGACUCUGCUUCACAUCCUCUGUUUUAGAGACUCAAGAAAUACAAGACAAAAUUAAGGGUUUGCUUUUUAAUUCCAAUAAUAAUUUUCUGGAGGAAGAAUUAGGGAAUAAUGCAUUGACAAUAUGCCAAACAUCCUAUAUCAAACUGAAUUACUGCAUGUAUUUACAAUAGAGUAUUGUAACCACUCCCCCCCCCCCCACACUACUGACCAAACAAAACCCAUAAACAAUUUAAGAGGGAUAGGGUUAUUUUAGGGGUAAUUAUACUUGCUUAUUGUAGCAGUAGUUUUUACAAUUAUGGAUGUAGAUAAUGAUAAUGUUUAUAAUAAUAAUACUUAGAAUAAUAAAUUUAUUUCAAUGACAUAACAGGAAUGAUAAAUAAAAAUUAAGCAAUACAAUAUGUACAGGUAAUUGUGUAACAAUUUUGGCAAUGAAGAAUUUUUAACAAAAAUAAUGAUCAAUGAAUUCGGGGGGUGGGGGGGGGGGCAUGUGACAUUGCAUCUGUGUUGUGAGGACAGUAGUCUCUUUCACACCAUUUCAUCUUAAGCAGAUGGGAACGAGCUCUGAUCAAAAUUUGAUCUUUAAACUCAAGAGGAAAAUAAUUGUUACCUGAUUUAUGUAUUUGGAAUAAAAUGAAUUGAAAUAAUAA